UUUCGUUGUUGUUGUUGUUGUACUUUUCGAGUUUUACGUUUUAGUUCGUUGGGCCUGGCUGGCUGCCCGCUGACUCAAUGACCAGAUGCUGGCUCGCGGCGGCGUUGAUUGAGUUGCACCUGCCAUUCGCAGAAAACAAUUUAUAAUACCCUUCCACCUUUUGAGUACCGGGUAUAACAAGCCGAACGGCUUCUGCCAGGGACACACACAACUGGCAACGCCACUGACACUGGCGACUGUCUCUGUAACUGCCACUGCCACUACUGCUGAUGAUGCCACAGUCUGGGGGCAAGCAGCAAGGCAAAGCAGCGCGGCAGCUACUUGAUGACCGACGCCUGACGAUGGUCGAUGGUCGAUGGACGCGUUAUUUAUGUGGAUUUUUCGGCUCACACAAAGUCCAAGAGUUGGCAGAGUCUCUCGAUGUCGUCGUCGUCUGUCGUUGACAUUUGCCUGAAUUUCAAUUUGAUGCAAGCUCAAUCCUGAUGCCUACCGACUGCCGCCUGCUGCCUGCGGCUGUUGCACAUAAAUCUCAGCUUCCCAAUCGGAUUGUUGAUUAUGUAAUUUACUUGAAUUUGCAUCUCAGAUUCACAAAUAAUUAGCAGAUGCACUCAGGCGUCUCUGAUUAUGGCUGCCAACCGAGUGAAGCGAAUGUUCCUGAACUGAACCUGAGAAGGAAAAUGUCACGAAAAUCAUUUUUCGCUUCUUUGAUUUUGUGCUCUGGCUUAUUUUCUGAUUAUGUUUAAUUAACAUCAAUAUAUUCAUUUGCGUAUUUCU